rnacentral:rRNA from 1 species
CUCUGAUGUCCUUCGGGACUAGGGGUGAGGCUGAACGCUCGAUCCGAUCGGGUAGUAGGUAAGCGAUGGGGUGACGCAGGAAGGUAGUCCAGCCCAGGCGAUGGUUGUCCUGGGGUAAGCAUGUAGGGAGCGAGGUAGGUAAAUCCGCCUCGUAUAUAUCCUGAGAUGUGAUGCCGAGCCGAUUGUGGUGAAGUGGAUGAUCCUAUGCUGCCGAGAAAAGCCUCUAGUGAGUGUUGUGGCGGCCCGUACCCUAAACCGACUCAGGUGGUCAGGUAGAGAAUACCAAGGCGAUCGGGUGAACUGUGGUUAAGGAACUCGGCAAAUUGCCCCCGUAACUUCGGGAGAAGGGGGACCUCUGCUGGUGAUGGGCUUUACGUUCUGAGCUGGUGGGGGUCGCAGUGGCCAGGGGGAAGCGACUGUUUACUAAAAACACAGGUCCGUGCGAAGUCGUAAGACGAUGUAUACGGACUGACGCCUGCCCGGUGCCGGAACGUUAAGGGGACCGCUUAGCCAACGCGAGUUGGCGAAGGUGAGAACUUAAGCGCCGGUAAACGGCGGUGGUAACUAUAACCAUCCUAAGGUAGCGAAAUUCCUUGUCGGGUAAGUUCCGACCUGCACGAAUGGCGUAACGACUUCCCCGCUGUCUCAACCACAGACCCGGCGAAAUUGCACUACGAGUAAAGAUGCUCGUUUCGCGCAGCAGGACGGAAAGACCCCGGGACCUUCACUACAGCUUGACAUUGGCGUUUGGAACGUCUUGUGUAGGAUAGGUGGGAGACUGGGAAGCUGUCACGCUAGUGAUGGUGGAGUCAUUGGUGAAAUACCACUCUGGUCGUUUUGAACGUCUAACUCUGGUCCGUGAUCCGGAUCGGGGACAGUGUCUGGUGGGUAGUUUAACUGGGGCGGUUGCCUCCUAAAGAGUAACGGAGGCGCCCAAAGGUUCCCUCAGCCUGGUUGGCAAUCAGGUGUUGAGUGUAAGUGCACAAGGGAGCUUGACUGUGAGACUGACAGGUCGAGCAGGAGCGAAAGCUGGGACUAGUGAUCCGGCAUCGGCGUGUGGAAGCGGUGUCGCUCAACGGCUAAAAGGUACCCCGGGGAUAACAGGCUGAUCUUCCCCAAGAGUCCAUAUCGACGGGAUGGUUUGGCACCUCGAUGUCGGCUCGUCGCAUCCUGGGGCUGGAGUAGUCCCAAGGGUUGGGCUGUUCGCCCAUUAAAGCGGUACGCGAGCUGGGUUUAGAACGUCGCGAGACAGUUCGGUCCCUAUCCGCUGCGCGCGCAGGAGACUUGAAGGGGGCUGUCCCUAGUACGAGAGGACCGGGACGGACGAACCUCUGGUGUGCCAGUUGUACCGCCAGGUGCACGGCUGGUUGGCUACGUUCGGAAGGGAUAACCGCUGAAAGCAUCUAAGCGGGAAGCUCGCCUUGAGAUGAGGUCUCCCACCCUGUGAGGGGGUAAGGCUCCCGGUAGAUCACCGGGUUGAUAGGCCGGAGGUGGAAGCACGGUAACGUGUGGAGCUGACCGGUACUAAUAGGCCGAGGACUUGACCAC